rnacentral:rRNA from 1 species
CACAUGCAGUCGAGCGGAGCGAGGGUGCUUGCACCUUAGCUUAGCGGCGGACGGGUGAGUAAUGCUUAGGAAUCUGCCUAUUAGUGGGGGACAACAUUCCGAAAGGAAUGCUAAUACCGCAUACGCCCUACGGGGGAAAGCAGGGGAUCUUCGGACCUUGCGCUAAUAGAUGAGCCUAAGUCGGAUUAGCUAGUUGGUGGGGUAAAGGCCUACCAAGGCGACGAUCUGUAGCGGGUCUGAGAGGAUGAUCCGCCACACUGGGACUGAGACACGGCCCAGACUCCUACGGGAGGCAGCAGUGGGGAAUAUUGGACAAUGGGCGGAAGCCUGAUCCAGCCAUGCCGCGNGUGUGAAGAAGGCCUUUUGGUUGUAAAGCACUUUAGCGAGGAGAGGCUACUAGUAUUAAUACUACGGGAUAGUGGACGUUACUCGCAGAAUAAGCACCGCUAACUCUGUGCCAGCAGCCGCGUAAUACAGAGGGGGCGAGCGUUAUUCGGAUUUACUGGGCGUAAAGCGUGCGUAGGCGGCUUUUAGUCGAUGUGAUUCCGAGCUUACUGGAUGCAUCGAUA